ACAUGCAAGUCGAACGAUGAAGCCCUGCUUGCAGGGUGGAUUAGUGGCGCACGGGUGAGUAAAGAAUAGAUUACAUGCCUCAUAGACCGGGACAACAGUUGGAAACGACUGCUAAUACUGGAUAUUCCCUACGGGGGAAAGCUUUUGCGCUAUGAGAUUGGUCUAUUUCCCAUCAGCUAGUUGGUAAGGUAAUGGCUUACCAAGGCUAUGACGGGUAGCUGGUCUUAGAGGACGAUCAGCCACACUGGAACUGAGACACGGUCCAGACUCCUACGGGAGGCAGCAGUGGGGAAUAUUGCACAAUGGGGGAAACCCUGAUGCAGCAACGCCGCGUGAAGGAUGACGCAUUUCGGUGUGUAAACUCCUUUUAUUAAGGAAGAAAUUUGACGGUACUUAAUGAAUAAGCACCGGCUAACUCCGUGCCAGCAGCCGCGGUAAUACGGAGGGUGCAAGCGUUACUCGGAAUUACUGGGCGUAAAGGACGCGUAGGCGGCCAGAUAAGUUAGAUGUGAAAUCCUAUGGCUUAACCAUAGAACUGCAUCUAAAACUAUUUGGCUAGAGUGAGGGAGAGGUCAGUGGAAUUAGUGGUGUAGGGGUAAAAUCCGUAGAGAUCACUAGGAAUACUCAUUGCGAAGGCGACUGACUGGAACUUAACUGACGCUGAGGCGUGAAAGCGUGGGGAGCAAACAGGAUUAGAUACCCUGGUAGUCCACGCCCUAAACGAUGUACACUAGUUGUUGGAAUGCAAGUCAUUUCAGUAAUGCAGCUAACGCAUUAAGUGUACCGCCUGGGGAGUACGGUCGCAAGAUUAAAACUCAAAGGAAUAGACGGGGACCCGCACAAGUGGUGGAGCAUGUGGUUUAAUUCGAAGAUACACGAAGAACCUUACCUGGCCUUGACAUUGAUAGAAUCUGCUAGAGAUAGCGGAGUGCCUUUCGGGGAACUUGAAAACAGGUGCUGCACGGCUGUCGUCAGCUCGUGUCGUGAGAUGUUGGGUUAAGUCCCGCAACGAGCGCAACCCUCGUCCUUAGUUGCCAGCAGUUCGGCUGGGCACUCUAAGGAGACUGCCUUCGCAAGGAGGAGGAAGGUGAGGACGACGUCAAGUCAUCAUGGCCCUUACGGCCAGGGCUACACACGUGCUACAAUGGGGCGUACAGAGAGUUGCGAUACCGCGAGGUGGAGCCAAUCUCAUAAAGCGUCUCUCAGUUCGGAUUGGAGUCUGCAACUCGACUCCAUGAAGCUGGAAUCACUAGUAAUCGUAGAUCAGCUAAGCUACGGUGAAUACGUUCCCGGGUCUUGUACCCACCGCCCGUCACACCAUGGGAGUUGAUUUCGCCCGAAGCGGGGAUGCCAAACCGGCU
rnacentral:rRNA from 1 species